rnacentral:rRNA from 1 species
UACGGGGGAGCAAGCGUUGUUCGGAUUUACUGGGCGUAAAGGGCGCGUAGGCGGUCAGCACAAGUCAGUUGUGAAAUCUCCGGGCUUAACUCGGAAAGGUCAACUGAUACUGUGCGACUAGAGUGCAGAAGGGGCAAUCGGGAAUUCAUUGGUGUAGCGGUUGGAAAUGCGUAGAUAAUCAGGAGGAACACCGGUGGCGAAGGCGUCCAUCUGGCCCGAAUACUGACGCUGAGGCGCGAAAGCUAGGGGAGCGAACGGG